rnacentral:misc_RNA from 1 species
CAAAGCGGCAAUGAUCAGGCCUUAUAACACAGUUAAAUAUGUGAACAUUGUGAUAAAAUAAAAUAAAAUUAUUAGUAUUACAUUAUUUUUAAUUACAAACUAUAUAAAAUAAUACAGUUAUUGCAGUCAAGUGUCUGUUAGUUGUUACUGUCUUGUUACCGAGGAAACGGAACACGGACUUCUGCACCAUUGUCAGUUAUAGUAAUUAUUUACCAGUUAUAGGCCUUGAUCAAUGUUUAACUAUUAUAACGUGUAGAUUAUAUACUUUACAAAUUAUUAAGAACUCAUACAUUAUUCACUGAACUAAUUUAUGAAAAUGAAUGUCAAUGGUCCAUACAAAUUUACAAAUUUAUUUAAAUGAAAACUUUUGCAACACAUUUGUAAAAUGCAAGCUUUCACAAAAUGUACAUUCAAUUUUGAAUAUUUUGUAUAAUUAUUCAACAAUUGAGUCUAUAGUAGUUUUAUUGUAAAAAUAUGUAUUCUUUUUAAUUUUUAAAUAUUCAUUAUAUACAAUGUCUAUUUACUAAAUUAUGCAUCCUAUGUUAUAAAUAAUAAUAAUUUCACUACCUAUUCCUGAAAACAAAAUAUGGAGGAAGAAGGUUUCAAAUUCAAACAUAUUUCCAAAGAAGAUUUUAAUAGAACUUACAAAAAAAUCAAUCGUUGUCGACAAAAACAAAUAGAUGAUCAACAUUGGAACGUUUAUAUGGAAUCAAUCAAAAGUACAGACUCUAAAAAAACAUACACUAUUGAAAAUAACACGGACAUUAAACAAAAUGAAAACUCAUUUAAUAAAUGUAGAAACAGUCAAUCUAGCAUGCAUGAUUCUGUAAAUUUAUACUCAUUGCAUGAUCCUUAUGAUAUAAAUCAUAUACACGGGCUUAGAAAUCGUUUGUUUAAAACAUUUAUUGAGUUUUCUAAUAUUUUAGAAAAUGCACUUUUGCCACCUGUUUUAAAAAGUGCUAAAAAAGUACGAAUUAAAAUAAAUGAAUAUGAUCAACAAACAAAUAAUUACAUAUUUGAUCUAAACUCACUGUUUUAUGAAAUUAAAAAAGAAUCAAAAAAUGAAGACUUGCACAAUAAAAAAAAUAAAACUAAUAUCACAUUAAGAAAAGCUUUUCAAAUUAAGUUAAUUAAAUGCUAUAAAUUAGCAAUUAAUGCCACAAAAAUGUGUUCAAAGACCUUGGAAGCUGGAAUUUAUAACCCUAUUCAAAAUAAAAUGAAAAAUUUAAUACAAAUUAUAUCAGCUCUAUCAUUAACUACUGGAAAAUAUAUUUAUGGUGAAUUAUUCAAGAAAAAAAAGAAAGAAAGUUUUGAUUUAGUUCAACAUUGCAAAGAUUUAGAAAAUAUGUUGGAGGAAUGUGGUUAUAAAGACACAGAUAUUGACAAUCAUAGUAAUAAUAUUAAUAGUAAUAUAUUAAAUGAGCUUUCUAAUAAAGCUUUAAGUAAACCUAAAACCCAAUUAUUUUCCGCCAAUUCCAAUCGAUUAAGUAUGUAUAAUCACGAUAAACCAAAAUUGGGAUCAUGCUAUGCUCAGGGAUGGUCAAAAAAAUCAUUUGAAUCAUCUAGAAAUAAAUUUUUAUCAAAACAAGACAAUAUCUUAAAAACUAAUAAUAAUUUAGACGAUAUCAAAACUGUAAUGGAAGAAUAUCCCUUUGGAGAAAUUAAUGAAACAAAUUAUAAAUUUUUGUUUAAAGAGAUACAAGAUGAAAAAUUAAUUAAUACCAAUGAAGCAAUUACAUUUUCAACUGAUUCAAAAAUAGUAAAGUCAAAUAAAUUAAAAACAACCAGUAAUGUUGGCCUAUACAUUGUACAAGAAAACAUCUGGAGAAAUUUCCUAUUAAAAAUAUAAAGCUGUCUCAAAAUGGAUAUAUGGUUUUAAAUAUAACUCCACAACAAACUAAGGAAUAUUAUUUAUACAAAAGACAAUUCAAACAACAUUCAUUGAUAGCAGAACAUGAUGUUAAUAUCUUAUUCAAUAUUUCAGAAAAAAUUAUGGAUGACCUGAUAAAUGAAGUUUUAUCAAAAAUUGAUUAUGAUGCAAUAAUCAAGAAUUUAAUAAAAAUGGAACUAUUGGAAUGAUUUUAAAUUUUCAAAGGAUU